CCCCCCCCCCCCCCCCCCCCCCCCCCCCCCCCCCCCCCCCCCCCCCCCCCCCCCCCCCCCCCUGCGCAGGUGGGGCUGGGGGAGCCGGGUCGGAAUGCGGGAUGAGGGUUGUGCGCCUGCAGGAGGGAUAACUGGGGGGUGUCCCAAGGAUAAUUCGGGGUGCCCAGAGGGAUGCUCAGGCUGCCUAAAGGAUAACUCAGGGGUGUCUGGAGGGGUAACUCAGGAUGCCCAAAGGAUAACUCAGGGGUGUCUGGAGGGAUGCUCAGCUUGUCCCAAGGAUAACUCAGGAGUAUCCCAAGGAUAAAUCGGGUGUCCAGAGGGAUAACUCGGGGAUGUCCCAAGGAUAACUUGGGGAUGCUCAGGGGGAUUCUCAGACUGCAUAAAGGAUAAUUUGGGGGUGUUUGGAGGAUAUCUCAGGGGUGUCAGGAGGGAUGCUUCAGCUGCUCCAAGGAUAGCUCGGGAAUGUUGGGAGGGAUGCUCGGGAUGCCCAAAGGAUAACUCAGGGGUGCCCAGAGGGAUGCUCAGGCUGCCAAAAGGAUAAUUCGAGGUGUCCAGAGGGAUGCUCAGGGGUGUCCCAAGGAUAAUUCUGGGGUUCCUGGAGGGAUAACUUGGGGGUGCCCAGAGGGAUAAGUCGAUAUGCCCAAAGGAUAACUCAGAGAUGUCCAGAGGGAUGCUCAGGCUGUCCCAAGGGUAACUCAGAGAUGUCCAGAGGCAUGCUCAGGGUGCCCAGAAGGAUGCUCAUGCUGCCCCAGUUAUAAUUCAGGGAUGUCCAGAGGGAUGCUGGUGGCUUGAACAGCUGGAAAACCUUCCAGGACAGCGAUUCCUGCACUGGAAUGUUUCCUGAGGUUGCAGUUUAAAGUAAAGGGUGCUGAGUUACUUUCCCAAUAGUGUUCAGUGAUUUCUCAGUGUUUCCAAGUGAUCUUUUGAUGUAAGUGCCUGACAAAACCCAUCUUUCUCCAAACAAGUAUCUCGUGGUGCUGAGCACCAGAGUCUCCCAGCAGGAGACUUCAAAAGUCUUUCUCAAAGUGUGUUGGAAACUUGGGAAUGCUUGCUGUCAUCUUUUCCCUGAGAAGUGUAGUAACUUCACAACCAGGUAAUUAAAACAUUAAAAACUCAUCUGUUUCUCUUUAGAAGCAGUUUAGGUGUUGAAAGGAAUGUUGUGAAAGAGUUUUGUUCAAAUCUGUAAUCCUGAAGGCGCCUAAUUAAUAAUUUAAUUUCACAAAGUAAGGAGAAAGUCAAGUGGGAAAAGUGGCUUUAUAUCUAAUUUGAGUAAUCUAAUGAAAUUAAAGCACAAACUUUACAUAAUAUUUAAUGUGUCCUGAUCCUUUUGCAGCUGAUUAAAAAGCUCUAUUUGUCCACAUAUUUCUGUAACUUCAGUUAAGUG
rnacentral:lncRNA from 1 species